UACGAAGGGGGCUAGCGUUGCUCGGAAUCACUGGGCGUAAAGCGCACGUAGGCGGACUCUUAAGUCGGUGGUGAAAUCCUGGAGCUCAACUCCAGAACUGCCUUCGAUACUGAGAGUCUUGAAUCCGGGAGAGGUGAGUGGAACUGCGAGUGUAGAGGUGAAAUUCGUAGAUAUUCGCAAGAACACCAGUGGCGAAGGCGGCUCACUGGCCCGGUACUGACGCUGAGGUGCGAAAGCGUGGGGAGCAAACAGG
rnacentral:rRNA from 1 species